AACAGAGCGAGACUCCCUCUCAAAAAUAAACAAAUAACAACAACAAAAAAAAAACUAUUUCAAAACAUGUAUGUCUGUCCCAGAGGAGGGCACAGUGACCCUUAGGACAGUUCCCUCAGGAUGGCCCUGGGCUGUGGGCCAGUGAGCCCUAAGUGGAGGGUGUGUGAAGAGGAGGUGGUAGGGGCCAACUUGCGAGGGAUUUGCAUGUAACACUAAGGAGGUCAGGUUUUGUCCACAGGACACUGGGAGCCACAGCAAGCUUCUGAGCUGAGGAAGGUGGGAUAAUGUCCCCAGCCAUGAUCCCUGGGAAAAGCAAGGUCCAUCCAAAGCUGGAGGCUAGAUAGCUUCAUCCUCAGUCGCACCCCAAACCUUCUUCCCAUCCCACCUCCUCUCUUUCCCUCCUCCUCCCUCUACUGUUCAUUCAUUCAACAAAUGUCUGUUACCCAUAUACCAUAUUGCAGAUACUGUUUUAGACACUCCAAUUAAUCACAGAAAAAACAGUGACAAAGCUUCUUCCUCCCUGGAGCUUGCAGAAACACUCUCAUUAUGAUAUUUGCAUAUGCGUGUGUCUUCUUUCAUAUGCGCCUCUUGAGCUGUUUGGGGCCACAGUCCUCCAUGUGGAAGAAGCUGGGAAUAUGGCUUUUCCCCUGAGGCCCAGCUGCAUCCCUACCCUUCCCAUGGUUUGGGGAACCCUUCCUUCAAUUUCAUGUGAUGCUUCAGUAUUUUUCCAGUAAUCUCCCCUGCUUCCACAGGACUAAACCGGUUCAAUUUCAGCUUCUGUCACAUGCCAUCAAAAUGUUCCUGCUAGAAAGGACUCAGCCAAGAAAACUGGAAAGAAUUUCUUGAUUAUGUCAUGAUGCAGGACCAGCUCUAGAGUGGGGUCAAGGGCCCUGUGGCAGGAUUCCCACAAGUGUCUGGAUGGCUGGGCCCUGUUUCCGUUCUAGGGCCUAAGUUGGAGACUGAACGUGCAUCAGCCAUGUUAGUCUCGAAAGCCUGUGUUAUAAAAGAAGACUGUGCCUAUGUAUGGUGUAGUUCGGGUUUCCCUGAAAGCAGAGCGUGAGACAAGGACUGGAUGCAGGUGGUUCAUGAGGGGUGUGAACCUGGGAAACAGGAGUGUGGGAGUGAGGACGUGAGAUGGGGCAGAAGGUGGGGCCAAUAUACGGACACGUUAAAGUUGCCCCUUGAUUCUGUUGACCCUCUUAAGAAAUUUACAGGAUGCUUUCUACAGUUAUCCACCUGAAAACAAAGGCCAGGCAUCCAUCUACUGGCUCCUGUCCCCUCAGUGACUGGCAGUUGUCCUGGGAGUGUUAACUGUCCUAGCAAGCCAGGGUGCUUGCUCUCUGGAUGUUUCAGUAACUCUGCCUUCAGAGAAAACCCUGGUGCAUAAUGCAGAAGAUGCUUAGCACAGGGCUCAGGGAAUCUGAGGCUGCACAGAACCGUUCAGCAGCUGUGGUGGAAAGCAGAGGAGGCCUGAGGACAUGUGAUACAGGCACCAGAGGUGUCUCCGCCAUACCUUACUGAACUUUGGAGCUAUGUUUUAAAUUAUAUGACCUCAGUUUGGGUGACAUGCCCCUGGCAUAGAUGACGCUGUCUCUGGCUCAUAUCUGGAAUAUUAGCCUCUGCCAGGACUCCAGUCUUAAGCAUGGGUCUGGUAAGAAAGCGAUGAGCUUCCAGAAGUUCUAAUGAGGUUCUCAUUCAACUUUGCACUGUCUAAGUGCCGAUGGUGAGGCUGAUUUGGGGGGACUCAAGAAGUACGCACAUUCUUCAAAACAUGUAGCUUUCUCUACUGUGUACCCCAACUGUGCUGACUUCCUUAGACCUUUGAUUUGCCCAACGGUGUUAGGAUGCCUGGCCCAUCCUCCAGCCUGGGCCGACUAUUGGCAUUGAUCAGUGUAGCAGUGGUGCACAAAUCCUGCUGCUCUCCCCACUCAGAGUCCUGUUUAAAGCUCUCCUGUGUGGCUGCACACAGUAGCAGAGUCUGCACCUGGAAUGCCUGUUCCUCUCCUUCCUGGCAGCCAGGCUCCAUUUAGUUUAAGGAUUUUGUGGCCAGGAAUGUUAUCUGAGCUGUCACCAUCAUGCUUUGUCACCCUCAAGUGAAUGACAGGAAAUGGAUCGGCGAGACCUGUCAGUUUCCUUGCUGCUGGCAUCACUCAGGUUCAACCACGAGCAUCACACUGUGAGUCGCUGAGGAGGUGGAGAGAAGCCACUCAAAUGUCUCUGCCAGACUUCGAAAGAGCUUUAGGAGAUACAAGUGCCUUAUCGAUUGGUGCCUGUUCUUCUGUCCUGAUUGUUGCUUUGAGCCAUGCAGCUGUGUUACUAUGGGUGCCUGCCACUCUCCUGAGGGUGCAGAGCCUGUCUUAUGAGACCUGAGAAAGAAAAAGUCACCAACCCCCAGGUCUGGCUGGAGUCCCCUCCUUACUUAACAUACACAAUUUCACAGAACACCAACAUCAGACAAGGUCAUUCUGUGGCGGUGGCAGAGUGAGACAACACCACCACACUGAAACAAGAACACCCAGCAAACUAUGAAAAUGACCAGAUAGCUCCUUCUCCUGGCAAAUAUGAGGGGUGUUUAUCAAGUCCAGCUCCAGCCCUGCUCUGUUUUUCCCACAACCUCCUAGAUACAAAUUGUUAGGCUGCCCAAUGAUAAAAUUAUCCCACUUUCUGACAGCUCCCGAGCAAGACCAUGCUUCCCAACCUUCCCCAAAUCACCUAACCCAAGCCCUGACCUCCUGAGAGGCUCCUCUGGACACCGUCCUACUGAGACACCCAUGGUUCCUCGUGUGGGUGGUCUUCCUUGCUGCAACAACUGCCAAUAAACCUAACUUUGAUCGCCCAGAGUGUCGCAUCCUUGGGCCUCCUUGGAUAUCAGCCCCAGCUGUGGUCGAACUUCCGUGGGGACUCAGAUUCAUCUUGCACGACAUCCAGGUCAGGCCCCAUCCUCUCCACAUUUCUGCCUUGGGGCCUUCUCUAAAGCCUCGGGAGCCUGCUCUGCUCUUGUAAGUGCAGCCUGCGAAGUGUCCUGCAGGGAGUGAACGGCCUCGGGUAUAACCUUCAACCAGUAAGGGAUGAGAGCUGGUGGGAAAAUGUCUCAGUCUGCGGUUCUUUAGGUAAGUAGUUCUGGAACACGUUCUCUGGGCAUCUCAGAGUAGAAAGAAUCAAACCCCCUUCCUCGCAGCACCCUCACAUUGACUUUUCUUCCCUCCCUAUCUUACUCUUCCCUCUCUCUCACUCCUGCUUCCUGGGAUUACCUCCCAAAUAAAUCACCUGCAUCCAAGGCCUUGCUCAGGUUCUGCAGUUACAUUACCC